UCUGCGCCGGAAAAAACCCACCCAAAUCAACCCCCAAAUCGUGCGUGCGUGCGGUUCUGGUGGCGAGCUGCUGCAGUACCGAAUUGAGGCGGCGGCGGAACUGCGGUCAGCGGCGCCUGAGAGGAGCGGCGCACGAGAGCAGACGCGCGGCGGCGGCUGGCUACGCGGCGGGCCUGCUCGAGCCUAGGCGGCGGCGGCGGCGGUCGCGGCUGGGGCGGCUGCCUCGACGACGACUGUGGCCCGAGCGAGGAGAAGCUCGAGCGGGCCUCCUCCUCCACCGCCUCCACCUCGCCGCUGCGUCCGGCGGCGAGGGGCGAGCGGCUGCAGCUGGAAGUGCGGCGAGCGGCUUGUGCCAGGCAGCGGAUCAUCGCUGGUGAGGCAAGAGAGGGCGAGGCGGUCCAAGCUCGAGGGCGCGAGCGGCGGGGAGGAGGCUGGAGUUGGAAGAAGACCAAUGCUGGAGGUUGAGGCCGACGCAGACGCCGGCCCACUCCUCGCGUCGUUGGGCAAAUAGGCAACCUCGGCGUCGAGUCCGCGGCUCAGCCCAGCCCUGCCUCGUCGGCCGGCUCCUCCCCACUGUUGUGGUAUGCCCCUCGCCAGCAGCUCGUGUGGAAUUAGUGUCAGGUACCCCAACUGCUGAAGCUAGCAAGUGUUCAUUGCUUCAGUAAUGGGAAUUGUUCAGUGUUCUUGCGACCUGUGAUUUGAUUCUUGUCUAUCCCCAUCCUUCCAACGAUGGUUGGGACCUGACAAUUAGCAGCCACAGUGUGGCUAUCGCUGGCAAACCAGGUGCGCAGCCCAGAGGAAAACAGGAGAUACAUCGGCAGUCUGUGCGUCUUAUUGUUGGAUUUGUCAGGGCUGUUGGCUCUGUGUUGUGGCAUAUUUGUCAAAAUUCUUGGUGUGAUUUUGGUUAAAUCUGAACAUUUUACGGUUUCUUGGGAAUUUUGGUCUGCAGUGGAUCGUCUCCUCUUUGUCAAAUUCCAGUCGUAACUACAGGCACUUCAUUUUCUCCUCCUGGAUUGUUUUUUUUUUUUGUAGUUCUCCUCCUAGAUUUGGCAGUGUUGAUCAAGAACACUCAGAUCAACCUAAUUAAGGGUAGGGUGACUCGUUGUAGGAACCACCAGACUUUGCUGGGUAAUUAGAAUUUGCAAGAUGGAGUUAAUGUAGCCAGCCGAGGUCCAAAUGACCAACGGGUGUGCUUGGAUGAUCUGAUUCUGAUAUCAUUAAUGUUGGAUUGGUAAUUAUCUUCUCAAGCAGAUCCUGUCAUUACUGAUCCAUGCUGAAGCAGUAAUAAAAUUGAUUAGCGUAUAGAAUUAUCAUAACUAUAAUGGAUAAUUGAUGUAUGAAAUCUUGUUUGCAUCCUGAUGCAUGCUGAAGCAGUAAUCAAAUUUAUUAGCAUAUAACUUACCAUAACUAUAGGGUUAUCACAGCAUGUUAAUUCCAUCCCGUUCAUCGAUCAUUGCUUUUUUGCAAAUUUUUAGCUGACCAACUCAGUGUAGCUAUAGAUUUGAUGUCCGGUUAUGUUGUUUGGGUUCUCUGACAUAAUGUGGUGCUUGUAUUGCUGACGAUGUUGUGAAUUCAAUACUAUUCGACGUAGUAAAUCGUUUUCUUUCUUUCAGCUAGCUAUCAUUAGUGUUUUGUUUCCAAGAAACUUAUGUGGCUUUGCCAAAGAUUCGUGGCGGCGGUGAUAUGGUCAAUUUCUCAUGCUUUUCAGGCCAUUCUUUUCCCCCCUCAAAGAAACUGUGAGCACUGAUUUUUUUUUCUUAGUACUUAUAGAUGCAUUCUGUUUAUUGCUGGAGAUAUCUUCAAAUGGAAAAUGUUGGCUUCACAUUGCAAAUCUCUUCUAUUUUUUGCUUGUUUGAUUGUAGUAAUAGUACUAUGCAAUAACCUUUCUUUUUCUUCAAGAUAGUGCAAAUGGAGACAGUGAUCUGAUUACACAUUGCCAUCAAACUGUCGGCACGUUGAAGUAAGCCGGAGAAAUUUGUGGUUUGCUCUGCUUUACUGUUCUCAUUUUAUUUUCCUGCCAGUUUUUUCGAGGUUACCAUCAUCUUAGAUUGUAUGUUGUAAUUCCUCAUUGACAAGGUUCCUUGGUGGUAUCUCAUUAAUGGCUUCAUUUGCUGAUCUGUUAUCUUGAUUUGCCUGGACCAAGCUUAAUUUGACAGAAACAGAAACAUAUCCAUUUCGUUUUAUCUGACCGACAUUCACAUAGCGGCGAUUGGCUGGGGAAGGAGCAGUUGGCAGCGGCGCGUGAUAGCAGAUGCGGGGCGUGGCGGUGGCUGGCUGGCUACGCGGCUUGCCGGCUCGAGCCUAGGCACGCUGGCAGCAAGAAUAGUCAAUUGCAAACUAUUGUUUAGGGUCUCUCUUUCCCCUAAUCAAUUGAUGUUCACUGCAAUGAUUUAUUAAGUAGAUUAUCAAGUUGCUCUGUUCUUUUUCCUCUUUUGAAAAGCUUAUCCCGAUUGCUCUGUUCCUAGCUUUUCCUCUUUUGAAAGCCUCCAGGCAUUCUGCUUAGUCUCUUAAUGCUGUUUUCUGAAAGUAUGUUUAUGCUGGAACGCUGCUGAUCGUUUAUGCUCAUAAUUUUUUAUCUCUUCACAAGGUUUUUUUUUCUGGGAGAAAUAUCUAUUCACAAGGUUGCAGGUGAGUUCUGUUAAUUCCGUGGAUAUCCUUAGAAUGUCCUGUGUCUCUUGUGUACUAGCGUUUAUAGUUUAUCUUAUGCUGCUUGUUUCCUACAGAAUUGCGCUCUUACCAUGCUUGCAGCAUUUUCUAAGACAGCCAAACUUUGUGAAGGAUGCAAAAGUGAAGGAAAUGAGACCAUGGAAAGCCAGUAUGGUAUAUGUCAUGAUUUGACAGAAGAUGUGGUGGUUAGUGGAGAUAUACGAAAUGAGAAUUGCUUUCUUCAAAGUAAUAUUUUUCAGGUUGUUGUUGGGAUGCCUUUGAAAUGAGCAAAUUGACCUGGGCACUUCUCAUGACUCAGUUUUCAGGUAAAUCAUUUUCUAUGACUGCCACUGCAGGUCAGUUAGCUUUUUAACGCCUCUGUACCAUGUUUCGUUCUGAAAAUGUUGUUUGCAUCUGAGAAAAAUAUGUGCAUCUCUUUAGCUUUAUUGAUCAAACUAGCCCACAAACUCUGAUUUGGCACCUGCUCAGACUUUUAGAUAUUGUAGCAUUAGUAUUGUAGAGAUGAUUUGGGGCUCUAGAACUUUUGCUUCACGUUGUACUCUGCUUAGGCUUUUCAUAAAGGGAUAUGGAUAUUCCUUCAUAUAGCAUGCAUGGCAGAAGGUGUAUUUAAAAAUUGUUAUUUGUUAAAUUGCAUUGAAACUGCUUAUUUGUAGCCAACAGAACCUUUCGGUGGCGAAGUCUCAUGUGUAAAUCAUGUAUGUGACCACAUAUUCUGCAUAGUCAUAGACUUCAUAACAGCCAUCAUUUUCUAACCACAUUACUUUGUAACUCUCAUUACAAGUUCUUCCAUUCAGCGCCAUACCUACUAAAAGAGAAAAGGCACCUUAAAUCAUGGACAAUCAAGGAUCCUUGUAAAUCAGUCAAACUGUUUAUCAUUUACUCUCUUUCUUGGUAGACUCUUUAUAAUGUAUUUAUUGGGAAGCUCAGUUGUGAAUAUACUCAGUAGGAGAAUAGCAAACUAUUUCAAGGGUCUUUACUAUUUCCCACUGAUUAACAUAACUCAAGUAUCUGCAGGCUGCAGGUCUUUACUAUUUGUAUCUACUAAGCAUGUUCAGAGUAAUGCUUUUUUUUUUGCGGGUUGUUCAGAGUAAUGCUUUAAUUGUGCAUAUUGCUCGCUACUUAGACGGUUGCCAUGAGCAGAAGCGGUAUAUAGCUCCCCGAUGAUGUCAAGCUGUAAAUAACACAACCGGAGAUUUUGUCCCAUGCACUGCAUGAUCGGCAGAAGCAAGACCCUGAUCACCAAGGCCUGAAGACCACAACAUCGUGGCCUUUAUCGGUAUGAGCGGCUAUGAGUUCGUGCAUGGGCACCCCGUCAAGGAGCCGAGGAUAGUGGAGGUCUUCCAGGUUGCCCACGAUGACAUGUUGGCAACAUUUCUUCUACAAGCUGGACAUGGCGCCCGCCGGCAGGUGACUGCUGGUGCUGCUCAUCGUAACCUGGAAGGGUGUGGCACCACCAACAGAGCCCGAAUGAACUGCUAAUUAUGUGUCUUAAUAGACCAUCAUUUCUUUCGCUGGCUUUGUUACUAAUUUUAUUCUAUGCUUCCUCGUCCAUUUUUUUUGCCCAACAGUUGAUAUUUGUGUUGAUGCCUAGGAGGGGCCAACUGCAUGAGUUGUUAUUUGCCUUAUGUAUGGUGGCUGCUCGAGAGCUUGUGGCAAUUGUCUUGCCAUUUGGAAGCCUAAUUGUUGGUGAUUUUGCUAAGCAUUUGUAUGAAUGUGCAAUGUCACGAUCGUGUGCUUUUGCCCA